GAUGAACGCUGGCGGCGUGCCUAACACAUGCAAGUCGAACGGAGAUUCCGGACGUAUGUUUGCGGAUGGAGGCGCGUACUUCUUAGUGGCGCAUGGGUGAGUUACGCGUGGGCAACCUGCCCCAUAAAGGGGGAGAGCAGCUUGCAACGGCUGGUAAGACCGCAUAUGUCGGUUAAAGGGCAUGAUUGGAUCGGGUAAUGAGCAAUCAGGUAUAGGAUGGGGUCGCGUCCGAUUUGUCAGUGGGCAGGGUAAAAGCCUACCAAAGCUGCGAGCGGGAGCUGGGAUGGGAGGUGGGGACGCCACAUCUGGACUGCGGCCCAGCCCAAAAUGCUACGGGAGGGAGGAGUGGGGGAUAUUGCAGAAUGGAGGCAGCUCUGAUGCAGCGACGCCGCGUGAGUGAAGAAGUAUUUCGGUAUGUACAUCUCUAUCAGAAGGGAAGAUAAUGACGGUACCUGACAAAGAAGCCCCGGCUAACUACGUG
rnacentral:rRNA from 1 species